rnacentral:rRNA from 1 species
GAGAUUUUAACACGAAGUGAGUGGCGGACGGGUGAGUAACACGUGGGUAACCUGCCCAGAAGCAGGGGAUAACACCUGGAAACAGAUGCUAAUACCGUAUAACAGAGAAAACCGCCUGGUUUUCUUUUAAAAGAUGGCUCUGCUAUCACUUCUGGAUGGACCCGCGGCGCAUUAGCUAGUUGGUGAGGUAACGGCUCACCAAGGCGAUGAUGCGUAGCCGACCUGAGAGGGUAAUCGGCCACAUUGGGACUGAGACACGGCCCAGACUCCUACGGGAGGCAGCAGUAGGGAAUCUUCCACAAUGGACGCAAGUCUGAUGGAGCAACGCCGCGUGAGUGAAGAAGGGUUUCGGCUCGUAAAGCUCUGUUGUUAAAGAAGAACGUGGGUGAGAGUAACUGUUCACCCAGUGACGGUAUUUAACCAGAAAGCCACGGCUAACUACGUGCCAUCAGCCGCGGUAAUACGUAGGUGGCAAGCGUUAUCCGGAUUUUAUUGGGCGUAAAGCGAGCGCAGGCGGUCUUUUAAGUCUAAUGUGAAAGCCUUUCGGCUCAACCCGAAGAAGUGCAUUGGAAACCUGGGAGACUUUGAGUGCAGAAAGAGGACAGUGGAACCUCCAUUGUGUAGCGGUUGAAAUGGCGUAGAUAUUAUGGAAAGAACACCACGUGGCCGAAGGCCGGCUUGUCUUGGUCCUGUAACUGGACGCCUGAGG